UACGAAGGGGGCUAGCGUUGUUCGGAAUCACUGGGCGUAAAGCGCACGUAGGCGGAUUGUUAAGUCGGGGGUGAAAUCCUGAGGCUCAACCUCAGAACUGCCUCCGAUACUGGCAAUCUCGAGUUCGGAAGAGGUUGGUGGAACAGCUAGUGUAGAGGUGAAAUUCGUAGAUAUUAGCUAGAACACCAGUGGCGAGGGCGGCCAACUGGUCCGACACUGACGCUGAGGUGCGAAAGCGUGGGGAGCAAACAGG
rnacentral:rRNA from 1 species